GCUAAACGCGAAGAACCUUACCAAGGCUUGACAUGCAUCUCUAAGCGCGUGAAAGCGCGUGACUCUUCGGAGGAUUUGCACAGGUGCUGCAUGGCCGUCGUCAGCUCGUGUCGUGAGAUGUUGGGUUAAGUCCCGCAACGAGCGCAACCCCUGUGAACAGUUGCCAGCACGUUAAGGUGGGGACUCUGUUCAGACUGCCCAGAUCAACUGGGAGGAAGGUGGGGACGACGUCAGGUCAGUAUGGCCCUUACGCCUUGGGCUGCACACGUACUACAAUGCCCAGCACAAUGAGAACCGAGACCGCGAGGUGGAGGAAAUCUAUAAAACUGGGCCCAGUUCGGAUUGGAGGCUGCAACUCGCCUCCAUGAAGCCGGAAUCGCUAGUAAUGCUGCAUCAGCUACGGCAGCGUGAAUACGUUCCCGGGUCUUGUACACACCG
rnacentral:rRNA from 1 species